rnacentral:rRNA from 1 species
UACAGAGGGGGCAAGCGUUGUUCGGAAUUACUGGGCGUAAAGGGCGCGUAGGCGGCCUUCUAAGUCGAACGUGAAAUCCCCGGGCUCAACCCGGGAACUGCGUCCGAUACUGGAAGGCUUGAAUCCGGGAGAGGGAUGCGGAAUUCCAGGUGUAGCGGUGAAAUGCGUAGAUAUCUGGAGGAACACCGGUGGCGAAGGCGGCAUCCUGGACCGGCAUUGACACUGAGGCACGAAAGCCAAGGGAGCAAACAGG